rnacentral:misc_RNA from 1 species
AGAAGAAAAGGAACAUAGAAAAUAACAUUAAAAAAGAAGCUGAAACUGCUAAAGAUUUUGACUGGGCAUCGUCAGCAUCAUCAGAAGAAUACAACUGGUUAAGGUCAUGGACUUGUUUGAAUAAACCAAGGCACGGAGAUGAAGACGAAUUAUCAGAAGCUUCCCAUUCAGAAAGUGAAACAUCCCAAUUGGGUCAUCCUCAGCAGAAUCACGUGCAUACAACAGGUGAAUUAGUAACGGUUGAUGGAGAAAGAGAACUCGAAUUAGAAACACUACUAAAAGCAUCUGCAUACAUU